CUAAUCAGUUGUUGAUAAACAAUGAAUUUUAGGGAUAAUAAUAAAGAUGAAAGGUCCGAUAGAGAUCUUUGAAACCGUUUCUUCAUACCGGCAGUUGGUACCGUAUCACAAUUUAGUUGAGACAUUGAUAAAAAGAUAAAUUUGUUUCAUCUGAUGUAUUAUUUUUUGUUUAUAUGUGAGCAGGUUGUCCGUUUCUUUUCAGUGUAUCUUUUGUUUUGAUGCUGAAGUUAAUAGAUUUGAUUAUGAUCGUUAUAAAUUUUUGCAAUGUAUCAAGUCAUAUUGGUUCAGCACCUGUUUCUUCAAGGUUUUCAUUGAUCCCACUUCUUAACUGCAUUAGGCUGCUUUAUCAAGUCCACCUUUCUAAUGCCAAGAAAUCAUCUGCCACAACUGAAAUCAAACACAAGUUGGAUAAUGACAGCGACAAGGACAUUUUUAAGUUGGGGAGAAAAGAUCUUCUUCCGAAAGUGAAGGGAACCAAAACAAAACAAUAAUUGGUGUUGUAUAUUGACCGAUGAGAGCGUGAAAAGAGAGACCGGAUUGAUGCAAACGUUGUCGUAUUGUUGCAGAGUACACCACUAUAGUGUUGCUAACAAUGGCAAACUUCAGUUUUACUAGGGGUUUAAUUUUGAUUAUUAAGACUGGGAGAUGAAGGUGAUUAUGCAUAUACCAUUACUGUGAGGUACUUUUUUUGUUUACAAGUAG